rnacentral:rRNA from 1 species
CCUACGGGUGGCAGCAGUAGGGAAUCUUCCGCAAUGGACGAAAGUCUGACGGAGCAACGCCGCGUGAGCGAAGAAGGCCUUCGGGUCGUAAAGCUCUGUUGUUAGGGAAGAACAAGUAACGCAGUAACUGGCGUUACCGUGACGGUACCUAACGAGAAAGCCACGGCUAACUACGUGCCAGCAGCCGCGGUAAUACGUAGGUGGCAAGCGUUGUCCGGAAUUAUUGGGCGUAAAGCGCGCGCAGGCGGUUCCUUAAGUCUGAUGUGAAAGCCCACGGCUCAACCGUGGAGGGUCAUUGGAACCUGGAGGACUUGAGUGCAGAAGAGGAGAGUGGAAUUCCAUGUGUAGCGGUGAAAUGCGUAGAUAUAUGGAGGAACACCAGUGGCGAAGGCGACUCUCUGGUCUGUAACUGACGCUGAGGCUCGAAAGCGUGGGGAGCAAACAGGAUUAGAUACCCGCGUAGUC